AUGAAUGAACCACUGUAUGAUCUGAGAGAUGGACGUUGUAGGGAUGUCGGAGGCCCCAGGAAAGGCAGCUUGGUGGCCCAGGGAAUCAGAGCUGCGGCUGUCCCCUUACCUCGUACCAGGAUGCGGCGGCAGUGGUCUGUCUCACCGAGCGCCUGCUGUCCGUCGCUGUCCCCUCCGCUCUCCCUGGAGCCCGCAGGGCUGGAGGCGGAGGUCCCAGCAAUCUCCCUCGGACUCGCGCUACCUGUGUCAGCACGCAAAUCUUCCGCUCCGCGGUGCUCUCCGUGACGCCCGCUGCGGCCACCAGGCUCCUCCCGGCGCUUGGGGCCGCGGUCCCGCUCCGCGCCCCCAUCGCCCAUGCCCGCCGCCACUGCUGCUUGGGCCACAGCAGCCGCUAGUCCUAGCUCAGGGUAGCAGGUCCCUCCCUGCCCCUCCCCACCCCUUCCUCCAUCUGCCCCGCCCCCUACAGGCCCCGCCCCCGUCGGCGAUUGGGCGCGAGCUGGGGUUCCAGGACUCUGGGUGGAUCCAGUAGGCGCAGCGCAACGGGAGUUCGUUCAGGGGGAGGAAAAAAGGAGGAGGGAGUGAGGGGAAGAGAGACAAGGGGAGGGAAAGAGGAGAAGGAGGAGGGAUAGGAGGAAAAGAGAUAUGUGGAGAAGGGGGAGGGGAUGGUGUCUUCGCGCCUCCUCGCGUGGGGCGGUGUUUAGAGCCUGGCAAUGGGAGACUGGACAGCCCCGUGGUACAGAAGACCGCCCCACACCCUCUCAUAAACUUUAUUACUCCCUACCCAUUGGUCCCUCUCGCCCUCUUCCCUCUGUUCCCUAUAUCUCCAGGGAAAUGCACCUAGCUUUCAGUCUGGCUCCGCUUGAUGGAAAACUCAGAGCUCGAGGAGGCGACCCUGACUCGACCCGGCAGAAAAGAGGAGG
rnacentral:lncRNA from 1 species